UGACCGCUGGCGGCGUGCCUACUACAUGCAAGUCGAGCGACCAGACGAGGAGCUUGCUCCUCUGACGUUAGCGGCGGACGGGUGAGUAACACGUGGAUAACCUACCUAUAAGACUGGGAUAACUUCGGGAAACCGGAGCUAAUACCGGAUAAUAUAUUGAACCGCAUGGUUCAAUAGUGAAAGACGGUUUUGCUGUCACUUAUAGAUGGAUCCGCGCCGCAUUAGCUAGUUGGUAAGGUAACGGCUUACCAAGGCAACGAUGCGUAGCCGACCUGAGAGGGUGAUCGGCCACACUGGAACUGAGACACGGUCCAGACUCCUACGGGAGGCAGCAGUAGGGAAUCUUCCGCAAUGGGCGAAAGCCUGACGGAGCAACGCCGCGGGAGUGAUGAAGGUCUUCGGAUCGUAAAACUCUGUUAUUAGGGAAGAACAAAUGUGUAAGUAACUAUGCACGUCUUGACGGUACCUAAUCAGAAAGCCACGGCUAACUACGU
rnacentral:rRNA from 1 species